rnacentral:rRNA from 1 species
UUACGCUGUUAUCCCUAAGGUAACUUAAUCUAAUAAUCAAUAAUAAUGGAUCUAAUACUCAUAAAUCAAUGUUAAAUAAAUAAAAAAGUUAUAUCUAUAUUUUUGUCACCCCAACAAAACACAGACCAAUUUAAAAUAUUAAUAUAAUUCUAUUUUAAAUUAGUUUAUGUAAAGAUCUAUAGGGUCUUCUCGUCUUCCAAUAAAAUUUUAGCUUUUUAACUAAAAAAUUAAAUUUUAAAACAAAUAAAAUGAGACAGUCAGUUCUUCGUUAAACCCUUCAUUCCAGCCCUCUAUUAAAAGACUAAUGAUUAUGCUACCUUUGCACGGUCAAUAUACCGCGGCCGUUAAAUUCAUCACUGGGCAGGCAAGACCUUCAAUUAAAUUCAAAAGGACAUGUUUUUGUUAAACAGGCG